rnacentral:rRNA from 1 species
GACGAACGCUGGCGGCGCGCCUAACACAUGCAAGUCGAACGGGGAUACACGCAGACUAAGGCUUCGGCCAAAGUCCUGUGUAUUCUAGUGGCGGACGGGUGAGUAACACGUGAGUAACCUGCCUUAAAGAGGGGGAUAACGGUUGGAAACGACCGCUAAUACCGCAUAAAGUGCGAGGAUGGCAUCAUCCAUGCACCAAAGAUUUAUCGCUUUAAGAUGGACUCGCGCCCGAUUAGAUAGUUGGUGAGGUAACGGCUCACCAAGUCGACGAUCGGUAGCCGGACUGAGAGGUCGAACGGCCACAUUGGGACUGAGACACGGCCCAGACUCCUACGGGAGGCAGCAGUGGGGGAUAUUGCACAAUGGGGGAAACCCUGAUGCAGCGACGUCGCGUGAGGGAAGACGGUUUUCGGAUUGUAAACCUCUGUCUUCGGGGAUGAAACAAAUGACAGUACCCGAGGAGGAAGCCACGGCUAACUACGUGCCAGCAGCCGCGGUAAUACGUAGGUGGCAAGCGUUGUCCGGAAUUACUGGGUGUAAAGGGAGCGUAGGCGGGAGAUCAAGUCAAGUGUCAAAUCUAUCGGCUCAACCGGUAGUCGCGCUUGAAACUGGUUUUCUUGAGUGAAGUAGAGGCAGGCGGAAUUCCUAGUGUAGCGGUGAAAUGCGUAGAUAUUAGGAGGAACACCAGUGGCGAAGGCGGCCUGCUGGGCUUUUACUGACGCUGAUGCUCGAAAGCGUGGGUAGCAAACAGGAUUAGAUACCCUGGUAGUCCACGCCGUAAACGAUGAUUACUAGGUGUGGGGGGUCUGACCCCUUCCGUGCCGGAGUUAACACAAUAAGUAAUCCACCUGGGGAGUACGGUCGCAAGACUG